GGCAGGAGGUUCGACUCGAGCGAAGCGAGAGAACGUUGCGUCAGCAACGGCCCGCAGGGCGAGUCACGCAGUGGCGAGUCAUCCUCUAUCACCGACCA
rnacentral:sRNA from 4 species